rnacentral:rRNA from 1 species
UACGUAGGGGGCAAGCGUUAUCCGGAAUUACUGGGUGUAAAGGGAGCGUAGACGGUAAUGUAAGUCUGGAGUGAAAGGCGGGGGCCCAACCCCCGGACUGCUCUGGAAACUAUGUUACUAGAGUGCAGGAGAGGUAAGCGGAAUUCCUAGUGUAGCGGUGAAAUGCGUAGAUAUUAGGAGGAACACCAGUGGCGAAGGCGGCUUCCUGGUCUGCAACUGACACUGAGGCGCGAAAGCGUGGGGAGCAAACAGG